rnacentral:tRNA from 1 species
CGGGGCGUAGCUCAGCCUGGCAGAGCGCAUGUUUUGGGUACAUGAGGUCAUCGGUUCGAACCCGGUCGCCCCGACCA